rnacentral:rRNA from 1 species
UUGACGUUGGAUUACCAGUGAGCGGCGGACGGGUGAGUAACACGUGGGCAACCUGCCCUGGAGCGGGGGAUAACAUCUGGAAACAGGUGCUAAUACCGCAUAACAACGAAAACCACAUGGUUUUCGUUUCAAAGAUGGUUUCGGCUAUCACUUCAGGAUGGGCCCGCGGUGCAUUAGCUAGUUGGUAAGGUAACGGCUUACCAAGGCAAUGAUGCAUAGCCGAGUUGAGAGACUGAUCGGCCACAAUGGAACUGAGACACGGUCCAUACUCCUACGGGAGGCAGCAGUAGGGAAUCUUCCACAAUGGGCGCAAGCCUGAUGGAGCAACACCGCGUGAGUGAAGAAGGGUUUCGGCUCGUAAAGCUCUGUUGUUGGAGAAGAACGUGCGUGAGAGUAACUGUUCACGCAGUGACGGUAUCCAACCAGAAAGUCACGGCUAACUACGUGCCAGCAGCCGCGGUAAUACGUAGGUGGCAAGCGUUAUCCGGAUUUAUUGGGCGUAAAGCGAGCGCAGGCGGUUGCUUAGGUCUGAUGUGAAAGUCUUCGGCUUAACCGAAGAAGGGCAUCGGAAACCGGGCGACUUGAGUGCAGAAGAGGACAGUGGAACUCCAUGUGUAGCGGUGGAAUGCGUAGAUAUAUGGAAGAACACCAGUGGCGAAGGCGGCUGUCUGGUCUGCAACUGACGCUGAGGCUCGAAAGCAUGGGUAGCGAAACAGGAUUAGAUACCCUGGUAGUCCAUGCCGUAAACGAUGAGUGCUAGGUGUUGGAGGGUUUCCGCCCCUUCAGUGCCGGAGCUAACGCAUUAAGCACUCCG